GACGAACGCUGGCGGCGUGCCUCACACAUGCAAGUCGUGCGGGGUUCAUGUUCGGAAGCCUUCGGGCGGAAGAGCAUGGACCUAGCGGCGGACGGGUGAGUAACGCGUGGGUAACCUACCCCAAAGUCCGGGAUAACAGCGGGAAACCGCUGCUAAUACCGGAUGCCUUUACCUUGGGGCAUCUUGAGGUAAAGAAAGGCAACGCUUUGGGAUGGGCCCGCGUCCCAUUAGCUAGUUGGUGAGGUAACGGCUCACCAAGGCGACGAUGGGUAGCCGGCCUGAGAGGGUGGACGGCCACACUGGGACUGAGACACGGCCCAGACUCCUACGGGAGGCAGCAGUAGGGAAUAUUGCGCAAUGGACGGAAGUCUGACGCAGCGACGCCGCGUGAGCGAUGAAGGUCUUCGGAUCGUAAAGCUCUGUCCUUGGGGAAGAAGGUCUUCGGACUUGACGGUACCCAAGAAGAAAGCCCCGGCUAACUACGUGCCAGCAGCCGCGGUAAUACGUAGGGGGCGAGCGUUGUCCGGAAUUACUGGGCGUAAAGGGUGCGUAGGCGGCCCUUUAAGUCGGAUGUGAAAGCCCGCGGCUUAACCGCGGAAUGGCAUUCGAAACUGGAGGGCUUGAGUGUCGGAGAGGGUAGUGGAAUUCCCAGUGUAGCGGUGAAAUGCGUAGAUAUUGGGAGGAACACCAGUGGCGAAGGCGACUACCUGGACGAUAACUGACGCUGAGGCACGAAAGCUAGGGGAGCAAACAGGAUUAGAUACCCUGGUAGUCCUAGCCGUAAACGAUGGGUACUAGGUGUGGGUGGUUUCGAUACCAUCCGUGCCGUAGUUAACGCAUUAAGUACCCCGCCUGGGGAGUACGUGCGCAAGCAUGA
rnacentral:rRNA from 1 species